rnacentral:misc_RNA from 1 species
CUGCCCUCAAGCACGGCUUGUGUGUUGGGCCCCCGCCCCCCGGUCCCGGGGGGCGGGCCCGAAAGGCAGCGGCGGCACCGCGUCCGGUCCUCGAGCGUAUGGGGCUUUGUCACCCGCUCUGUAGGCCCGGCCGGCGCCCGCCGGCGACCCCAAUCAAUCUUUUUCA